GCUCAACCGAGGAAGUGCUUCGAAAACUGGUAAACUUGAGUGCAGAAGAGGAAAGUGGAACUCCAUGUGUAGCGGUGGAAUGCGUAGAUAUAUGGAAGAACACCAGUGGCGAAGGCGGCUUUCUGGUCUGUAACUGACGCUGAGAUUCGAAAGCAUGGGUAGCAAACAGGAUUAGAUACCCUGGUAGUCCAUGCCGUAAACGAUGAGUGCUAAGUGUUGGAGGGUUUCCGCCCUUCAGUGCUGCAGCUAACGCAUUAAGCACUCCGCCUGGGGAGUACGAUCGCAAGAUUGAAACUCAAAGGAAUUGACGGGGGCCCGCACAAGCGGUGGAGCAUGUGGUUUAAUUCGAAGCAACGCGAAGAACCUUACCAGGUCUUGACAUACCAUGAAAAGCUAAGAGAUUAGUCUUUCCCUUCGGGGACAUGGAUACAGGUGGUGCAUGGUUGUCGUCAGCUCGUGUCGUGAGAUGUUGGGUUAAGUCCCGCAACGAGCGCAACCCUUAUUAUCAGUUGCCAGCAUUCAGUUGGGCACUCUGGUGAGACUACCGGUGACAAACCGGAGGAAGGUGGGGACGACGUCAAAUCAUCAUGCCCCUUAUGACCUGGGCUACACACGUGCUACAAUGGUCGGUACAACG
rnacentral:rRNA from 1 species